CCUACGGGCGGCUGCAGUGAGGAAUAUUGGUCAAUGGCCGCAGGGCUGAACCAGCCAAGUCGCGUGAGGGAUGACGGUCCUAUGGAUUGUAAACCUCUUUUGUCAGGGAGCAAAGGGCGCCACGUGUGGCGCUUUGCGAGUACCUGAAGAAAAAGCAUCGGCUAACUCCGUGCCAGCAGCCGCGGUAAUACGGAGGAUGCGAGCGUUAUCCGGAUUUAUUGGGUUUAAAGGGUGCGCAGGCGGAAUGUCAAGUCAGCGGUAAAAUUUCGGGGCUCAACCCCGUCGUGCCGUUGAAACUGGCGUUCUUGAGUGAGCGAGAAGUAGGCGGAAUGCGUGGUGUAGCGGUGAAAUGCAUAGAUAUCACGCAGAACUCCGAUUGCGAAGGCAGCAUACCGGCGCUCAACUGACGCUCAUGCACGAAAGCGUGGGUAUCGAACAGGAUUAGAUACCCUAGUAGUC
rnacentral:rRNA from 1 species